GCUUGGAGUUUGCUUCCUUUGAGUGUUUUCUAGUGAGACUUGAUCUAUGGGAAACAGAUGCUUCCUCACCACAGAAACUUUUGCAAAAGAUGUAGUUUGUGGAACUUCUGGAAUUCCACAGAAUUUAGAGCAGCUUCAAAACUAUCACGUGUAAUUUCUUUAUGCAACUAUCUGUCUAUAGAGACGGGAAGAGUUCUGAGGACCCAUCCUUCUUCUAUGUCUGAAAGUGCAGAUAUAUGACAAAACAGCGCAGCUCCUUCUCAUUCGGAAACUUCAUCUUGCUCAUGUGACUCAUGAGAUACAUUCAGUCACGCAAGGGGAGAGGAAGAUGUCAGGAUGCAGGGAAUUAGAACAUCAGAGAAGAAAUUGUUGGAAUAUUUUUAUCCCUGUUCCCCUCCUUUCUCAGAGGAGCAUGGCAUUGUUCUGGGUGAAACUGGUUGGUUCAAUUGUACUGGUUGGUUCAGCAGUAGUCCUGUAUGCAAAAGCAACAAAGCUUUUCUGUGUUAUAUGAACAGAGAUUAAUGUUGAAAUGAACUGGCAUUCUUAAAUGGCUCUAAAUUUUGAAAUUGUUGUUUUAGAGUUGCUCAAGCAUCUCAUAAUUCCAUUGGCAAAUAAUCUUGACUGGGAAUAAACAUAAACUUAUUUUUAAGUAUCUGUCCAAAAUCACUUGUUAAAACAUAUGCAGAAAUAGGGUAAAAUUUUACUUUUGUAAUAAGAUUAUCGUAAGACUUUGCAUGAAUUAGGAUGGUUAUAAUCACUUGAAAAUUAAAAAAUCUCCUGAUGAGUUAAAUUUCUAGUGUAGUAAACAUGUACUUAAACAUCUUCAUUUUCCUUCACAUCAUGGCUGUUUUGCUUUUUGAGAAUAUUUUGCCUGAAAGUCUUCAUAUACACAUAAUAAUUUUCCAGUCUGUAUUUUCAC